rnacentral:rRNA from 1 species
AAGAACAAGUACCGUUUGAAUAGGGCCGUACCUGGACGGUACCUAACCAGAAAGCCACGGCUAACUACGUGCCAGCAGCCGCGGUAAUACGUAGGUGGCAAGCGUUGUCCGGAAUUAUUGGGCGUAAAGGGCUCGCAGGCGGUUUCUUAAGUAUGAUGUGAAAGCCCCCGGUUCAACCGGGGAGGGUCAUUGGAAACUGGGGAACUUGAGUGCAGAAGAGGAGAGUGGAAUUCCACGUGUAGCGGUGAAAUGCGUAGAGAUGUGGAGGAACACCAGUGGCGAAGGCGACUCUCUGGUCUGUAACUGACGCUGAGGAGCGAAAGCGUGGGGAGCGAACAGGAUUAGAUACCCUGGUAGUCCACGCCGUAAACGAUGAGUGCUAAGUGUUAGGGGGUCUCCGCCCCUUAGUGCUGCAGCUAACGCAUUAAGCACUCCGCCUGGGGAGUACGGUCGCAAGACUGAAACUCAAAGGAAUUGACGGGGGCCCGCACAAGCGGUGGAGCAUGUGGUUUAAUUCGAAGCAACGCGAAGAACCUUACCAGGUCUUGACAUCCUCUGACAAUCCUAGAGAUAGGACGUCCCCUUCGGGGGCAGAGUGACAGGUGGUGCAUGGUUGUCGUCAGCUCGUGUCGUGAGAUGUUGGGUUAAGUCCCGCAACGAGCGCAACCCUUGAUCUUAGUUGCCAGCAUUCAGUUGGGCACUCUAAGGUGACUGCCGGUGACAAACCGGAGGAAGGUGGGGAUGACGUCAAAUCAUCAUGCCCCUUAUGACCUGGGCUACACACGUGCUACAAUGGACAGAACAAAGGGCAGCGAAACCGCGAGGUUAAGCCAAUCCCACAAAUCUGUUCUCAGUUCGGAUCGCAGUCUGCAACUCGACUGCGUGAAGCUGGAAUCGCUA